rnacentral:rRNA from 1 species
UGGCGAACGGGUGAGUAACACGUGGGUGAUCUCCCCUGCACUCUGGGAUAAGCCUGGGAAACUGGGUCUAAUACCGGAUAGGACCAUGCUUUAGUGUGUGUGGUGGAAAGUUUUUUCGGUGUAGGAUGAGCCCGCGGCCUAUCAGCUUGUUGGUGGGGUAAUGGCCUACCAAGGCGGCGACGGGUAGCCGGACUGAGAGGUUGGUCGGCCACAUUGGGACUGAGAUACGGCCCAG